rnacentral:rRNA from 1 species
AUGAACGCUGGCGGCGUGCCUAAUCCCUGCAAGUCGGGCGGACGGACGAGGAAGUUUGUUUUCUGGGGUGCGCGGGGGGGAGGGGAGUAUCACAUAGCUGAACGAACUGUAUAAUUGGGGUAAACUCAUUGAAACGUUAGUUAAAACCGCAAAUUUUUUGAAGCGGAAAGCUGGGGAGCGUAGGGCCGUCUGGUUGUCGAGUGGACGAGAAUCGGUAUCGCAUUAGCUAGUUGGUGAGGUAACGGCCUACCAAGGCGACGAUCAGUAGCGGAUCUGAGAGGAUGAUCCGCCACACUGGAACUGAGACACGGCCCAGACUCCUACGGGAGGCAGCAGUGGGGAAUCUUGGACAAUGGGCGCAAGCCUGAUCCAGCCAUGCCGCGUGUGUGAAGAAGGCCUUCGGGUUGUAAAGCACUUUUGUCAGGGAAGAAAAGGCUGGUGCUAAUACCGACAGCUGAUGACGGUACCUGAAGAGUAAGCACCGGCUAACUACGUG